rnacentral:rRNA from 1 species
GUAUUUUGGACAAUGGGCGAAAGCCUUAUCCAGCAACGCCGCGUGCAGGAUGAAGGCCUUCGGUUUGUAAACUGCUUUUGUACGGAACGAAAAUCUUUUGGUUAAUACCCUGGCGCCUUGACGGUACCGUAAGACUAAGCAUCGGCGUACUACGUCCCAGCAGCCGCUGUAUUUCGCAGGGUGCAAGCGUUAAUCGGCAUUACUGGGCGUAAAGCGUGCGCAGUCGGUUUUGUAAGACAGAGGUGAAAUCCCCGGGCUCAACCUGGGAACUGCCUUUGUGACUGCAAGGCUAGAGUACGGCAGAGGGGGGUGGAAUUCCGCGUGUAGCAGUGAAAUGCGUAGAUAUGCGGAGGAACACCGAUGGCGAAGGCAACCCCCUGGGCCUGUACUGACGCUCAUGCACGAAAGCGUGGGGAGCAAACA